rnacentral:rRNA from 1 species
GACGAACGCUGGCGGCGUGCUUAACACAUGCAAGUCGAACGGACUAUUUCAUUUCGGUGGGAUGGUUAGUGGCGAACGGGUGAGUAACGCGUAGACAACCUACCUCUUAGAUGGGGACAACAUCGCGAAAGCGGUGCUAAUACCGAAUGAAGUGACUUUCCUGCAUGGGAGAGAUACUAAAGGUGGCCUCUAUUUAUAAGCUACCACUGAGAGAUGGGUCUGCGUCUGAUUAGCUAGUUGGCGGGGUAACGGCCCACCAAGGCGACGAUCAGUAGCCGGUCUGAGAGGAUGAACGGCCACAUUGGGACUGAGACACGGCCCAAACUCCUACGGGAGGCAGCAGUGGGGAAUCUUCCGCAAUGGACGAAAGUCUGACGGAGCAACGCCGCGUGAGGGAAGAAGGCUUUCGGGUCGUAAACCUCUUUCAGUUAGGACGAAGCUUUAUUGGUUAAUAACCAAUUGGAGUGACGGUACUUUCAGAAGAAGCCCCGGCUAACUACGUGCCAGCCGCCGCGGUAA